UACCAAAUGCCUUAGAGAGAGUGACUGUUGGGAAGGAUGAAUUAGGGAAACCUUAUAAAUACGAGUGCCUAGCCAAAGACUUUGAGAAUAGGGAAAAUAUAACCGAAAUAGAAAUGGUAGCAAUUUUCGACUGUGUGGCUGAAAGCAACUGAAUG